rnacentral:rRNA from 1 species
UAGGGAGCGAAGCAAUUGGAAGUGGUUCCAAGAAAAGCCUCUAAGCUUCAGUCUAACGAUGACCGUACCGCAAACCGACACAGGUGGGCGAGAUGAGUAUUCUAAGGCGCUUGAGAGAACUCGGGAGAAGGAACUCGGCAAAUUGGUACCGUAACUUCGGGAUAAGGUACGCCCUUGUAGCUUGACUGGCCUGCGCCAGGAGGGUGAAGGGGUUGCAAUAAACUGGUGGCUGCGACUGUUUAAUAAAAACACAGCACUCUGCAAACACGAAAGUGGACGUAUAGGGUGUGACGCCUGCCCGGUGCCGGAAGAUUAAAUGAUGGGGUGCAAGCUCUUGAUUGAAGUCCCGGUAAACGGCGGCCGUAACUAUAACGGUCCUAAGGUAGCGAAAUUCCUUGUCGGGUAAGUUCCGACCUGCACGAAUGGCGUAACGAUGGCCACACUGUCUCCUCCCGAGACUCAGCGAAGUUGAAGUGUUUGUGAUGAUGCAAUCUACCCGCGGCUAGACGGAAAGACCCCAUGAACCUUUACUGUAGCUUUGCAUUGGACUUUGAACCGAUCUGUGUAGGAUAGGUGGGAGGCUAUGAAACCGGAACGCUAGUUUCGGUGGAGCCGUCCUUGAAAUACCACCCUGGUUUGUUUGAGGUUCUAACCUUGGCCCGUGAUCCGGGUCGGGGACAGUGCAUGGUAGGCAGUUUGACUGGGGCGGUCUCCUCCCAAAGCGUAACGGAGGAGUACGAAGGUACGCUAGGUACGGUCGGAAAUCGUGCUGAUAGUGCAAUGGCAUAAGCGUGCUUAACUGCGAGACCGACAAGUCGAGCAGGUGCGAAAGCAGGUCAUAGUGAUCCGGUGGUUCUGUAUGGAAGGGCCAUCGCUCAACGGAUAAAAGGUACUCUGGGGAUAACAGGCUGAUACCGCCCAAGAGUUCAUAUCGACGGCGGUGUUUGGCACCUCGAUGUCGGCUCAUCUCAUCCUGGGGCUGUAGCCGGUCCCAAGGGUAUGGCUGUUCGCCAUUUAAAGAGGUACGUGAGCUGGGUUUAAAACGUCGUGAGACAGUUUGGUCCCUAUCUGCCGUGGGCGUUGGAUAUUUGAAGGGGGCUGCUCCUAGUACGAGAGGACCGGAGUGGACGAACCUCUGGUGUACCGGUUGUCACGCCAGUGGCAUCGCCGGGUAGCUAUGUUCGGAAGAGAUAACCGCUGAAAGCAUCUAAGCGGGAAACUCGCCUUAAGAUGAGAUAUCCCUGGGGACUAGAUCCCCUUGAAGGGUCGUUCGAGACCAGGACGUUGAUAGGUCAGGUGUGUAAGCGCAGUAAUGCGUUCAGCUAACUGAUACUAAUUGCCCGUAAGGCUUGAUCCUAUAACA